CUUUCCCCUUUACGAUCAUGUGGGAGAAAAAAUCGGGGUGAAUCUGGUGGUUGGUUAAUCUCAAUCUCCAUAUUCCCCACUGCGUCCUGUAAUUGUGGGAGUGAAGAUUCGAGAAAGCACACCAGUUUCCCCACCAAUUCAGUUUUUUUUUCAUUUUUCUUCCAAUUCCCCAUUUUCUAUUUUCUCUUCCUCUUCCCCUGAUUUCCCCAUUUUUAUUUGUUCCGGAGAAAUUAGUUCCCUAACAGAGAAAUCCAGCAGAGAAAGGGGUACAGUUUCAUGGUGGAGAUCGUUGGUUACUCAGUGGAGUCUUCUUGAUCGUAACUUCUUGUAACACGGUUAUUUCACCUGGAUUCGAAGCAGGGGUUUAGGAUUAUCUUAAAGUUGCUAGUCAGAGUGCACAGAGAAGGGAUCUAAGGAGAAUCUUUCGUCCAUAUGAAAUUUGUGUAAACCUUUACCGUAAAACUUUAGUUUAGUACUCGCAUUGAGAUGGAUUAUGGUCCUUCCUUCUGAUAUAGUAUCAGAACUAGCACUCUACAGUUGUUACUAUUAAUUUUCAAAGGCAGUUGGUGCCUGGUGGUUGACACAUCUUGCUUGAUUCUACUCUUAGUGCUUCGGGGAAUAGCCUAAAUAAGCCUAAGCCUGUUCUUUGCAGAGUUGAAGCAUAAGCAUAUGAAGCUCACUGGUACAUUUUUGUUUAUAAGUUUUAGAACUAUUUGGUCGAUCUACAGAAGAAAAAGAUUCCUUCAAGUUUUAUAGGAAAAUAAGCUACAGAUCUAGCAGUUCAACAUUAUUUCUCAUAAAAUGUGAGAGUUACUGAAGAAGACGAAGACAACUAGCCCAGUUUGGCAGUGCAACUGGUGUUUAUGAGACGCUUGUGAAGUACCUAGGUGGAGUGCCACAGGCUCACAGGUGGCAGAAGUAAAGAGUUUACGAUCUUUUGAUGUCUUCCACAUCUCAACAGCAACGAACUUGAAUUCAAACUGGAAUUUUUGGAUAUCUUACUAAUUCAAGUACUUUCAGCAUUUUAUAGAGAUAUUUUCAUCCAUUUCUUGUUUGUUUGUGCUAACAGUAUAUUGUACAUAUUUAUGGGAUAUUGAGGAACUGGAAGGCUCCUAAAUUGCACUCAAAAUCUAUUUACUUUGUAAUUUCAGACGGGAAAUUUCACAUUAUAAAUAUAUUGUUUGAUUUGGAAUC